UCUUGAGAGCGGCGGACGGGUGAGUAAUGCCUAGGAAUCUGCCUGGUAGUGGGGGAUAACGUUCGGAAACGAACGCUAAUACCGCAUACGUCCUACGGGAGAAAGCAGGGGACCUUCGGGCCUUGCGCUAUCAGAUGAGCCUAGGUCGGAUUAGCUAGUUGGUGAGGUAAUGGCUCACCAAGGCGACGAUCCGUAACUGGUCUGAGAGGAUGAUCAGUCACACUGGAACUGAGACACGGUCCAGACUCCUACGGGAGGCAGCAGUGGGGAAUAUUGGACAAUGGGCGAAAGCCUGAUCCAGCCAUGCCGCGUGUGUGAAGAAGGUCUUCGGAUUGUAAAGCACUUUAAGUUGGGAGGAAGGGCACUUACCUAAUACGUGAUUGUUUUGACGUUACCGACAGAAUAAGCACCGGCUAACUCUGUGCCAGCAGCCGCGGUAAUACAGAGGGUGCAAGCGUUAAUCGGAAUUACUGGGCGUAAAGCGCGCGUAGGUGGUUUGUUAAGUUGGAUGUGAAAUCCCCGGGCUCAACCUGGGAACUGCAUUCAAAACUGACUGACUAGAGUAUGGUAGAGGGGUGGUGGAAUUUCCUGUGUAGCGGUGAAAUGCGUAGAUAUAGGAAGGAACACCAGUGGCGAAGGCGACCACCUGGACUAAUACUGACACUGAGGUGCGAAAG
rnacentral:rRNA from 1 species